rnacentral:SRP_RNA from 1 species
CUAGGUGCAGUGGCUCACACCUGUAAUCCCAGCACUUUGGGAGGCCAAAGAGGGAGGAUGGCUUGAGCCCAGGACC